GUGAAGCACGUUGCAGGGGUGGCGGUGAAACGGAGUGUGCUAGUGUGGUCCUGAAGCAGUGGGCGUAAAGGUGGUGUAGGCUGGGCUGUGAGGCGUCUGGGAAAGUGGUGGGGGCAACCCUCGGAUGCCGGGUGUGACUGUCGGGCUCGGGUACGGAAGAGGCUAGUGGAAUUGCUGGUGUAGCGUUGAAAUGCGCAGAUAUCAGGAGGAACACCGAUUGCGAAGGCAGCGCGCUGGGACGUUACUGACGCUGAGACGCGAAAGCGUGGGGAGCAAACAGGAUUAGAUACCCGUGUAGUC
rnacentral:rRNA from 1 species